GACGAACGCUGGCGGCGUGCUUAACACAUGCAAGUCGAACGGAAAGGCCUGCUUUCCCUUGUGGAUUGCGGGUACUCGAGUGGCGAACGGGUGAGUAACACGUGAGUGAUCUGCCCCCAACUUGGGUAUAAGCCUGGGAAACUGGGUCUAAUUCCCGAUAGGACUGCAGGGUGGUGCCUGUGGUGGCAAACGAUUUUCUAGUGGUUGGGGAUGAGCUCGCGGCCUAUCAGCUUGUUGGUGGGGUAAUGGCCUACCAAGGCGGCGACGGGUAGCCGGCCUGGGAGGGUGGACGGCCACAUUGGGACUGAGAUACGGCCCAGACUCCUACGGGAGGCAGCAGUGGGGAAGAUUGCACAAUGGGCGGAAGCCUGAUGCAGCGACGCCGCGUGGGGGAUGACGGCCUUCGGGUUGUAAACUCCUUUCGACCGCGAGGAAGCCACCUGGUUGGAAGGGUGGUGACGGUAGUGGUAGAAGAAGCACCGGCUAACUACGUG
rnacentral:rRNA from 1 species